rnacentral:tRNA from 1 species
GUGUAGCUCAGUUGGUAGAGCGCUUGCCCACCAUGCAGGAAGCCCUGGGCUCCAUUCCCAGCAC